rnacentral:rRNA from 1 species
UACAGAGGUCUCAAGCGUUGUUCGGAUUCAUUGGGCGUAAAGGGUGCGUAGGCGGCGCGGUAAGUCGGGUGUGAAAUCUCGGAGCUUAACUCCGAAACUGCAUUCGAUACUGCCGUGCUUGAGGACUGGAGAGGAGACUGGAAUUUACGGUGUAGCGGUGAAAUGCGUAGAUAUCAGGAGGAACACCGGUGGCGAAGGCGGCAUCCUGGACCAUUACUGACGCUGAGGCGCGAAAGCUAGGGGAGCAAACGGG